AUACGGAGGGUGCGAGCGUUAAUCGGAAUUACUGGGCGUAAAGCGUGCGUAGGCGGUUUGCUAAGUCAGAUGCGAAAGCCCCGGGCUUAACCUGGGAACUGCAUUUGAUACUGGCAGACUAGAGUAUGAUAGAGGGGGGUAGAAUUCCUGGUGUAGCGGUGAAAUGCGUAGAUAUCAGGAGGAAUACCAGUGGCGAAGGCGGCCCCCUGGAUCAAUACUGACGCUGAGGUACGAAAGCGUGGGGAGCGAACAGGAUUAGAUACCCUAGUAGUCC
rnacentral:rRNA from 1 species